UUUUCCAAGAAUCCAAUCAGAUAUAAAUAUAACAUCAUGCACAUAAAACAGCUGCGAGCAUGCUUCAAACGUAUUUAUGAUUAGGUCAUUCAAGAGAAGAAGAAGAAGAGAGCGAACAGCGUUAGGCAAAUAAGAAAAGCAAGCCGAGUGCUAAGCUCCAAAUUAUAGCUUACAUAUAAAUUAGCUGAAAGCUUCGUCCUAAAGGGCGGCACGUGCAAUGGCGUUAGGCUAAGAAGGCGCGGCCGAAUCCUUUGCUAGUUGAGGCAUAGCUCACAAUUUAACGAUGAAUCUGGCAUUGCGGCGUCAAGAGAAAGGCGAACAUCAACGUGACUGUCGUCCUGCCAAUGAAUGUACAACAGCAGCGAGGUUAUCAAAAGGCAACCGGCUGGUGCCCUAAGAAAACCUUCGGAAGGGGCAGUGAUGUUGGGAGCUUUCAUGUAAAUAGAGGAGAUUUAUACAUAAUUAUUAUUAGACCAAUAAAUAUAGCAAACAAAUAGACAACAGCGGCAGCAACAAAAGCGGCAAAAGCAACAACCAAAUGGCGAGUAACAAAUUGCAGUUGAAUACAAAACUUGGCCUAUUAAGUUUCGUAAUUUAUCCCUAUUUCAGCAAAUAAGAGAAGAACGAGUGAAGCAGGAAAGCAGUGCAGGAUAUGAGAGGAAAAUAUUCAAGAAUGGUGCGUCCACAAAGCUCUUCAUUUGUUUCAUGUUUAAAUGAGAAAGGAACGAAAGUUGAGUUGAGCUUGGAGUCUCAUCUUAGGGCUUUUGUUGCAUGCAUUUGUGUGUACAUUCAGGUUCGAAGAAGCUGAAAGUUUUCUCAAAAACUUACUAACUUAACUUUUUUAAUGUCACAAAAUAUUUAAUACCAAGCCGGUGACGCUACCCAGCAAACACAAAACCGCAUACUUUGCAAUGACCAUUGAGAUGCCCAGACUUCUCGUGAGUUGGUCUUCAAAACUGGUUAGCAUUUCAGUCACUCUUAUUCCGUGAGCAUAUUGCUCAGAAUAUUUGAUAAAUUGUUUGGCUUAUUUCAUAGUCUACAAAUAUCAUUGCUUUAAAUCAUUAAAUCAUUGACUUAACAAAUUGAACUUGAAAUCUUUAUGACGUAUUUUGGCGAGAAAUCGUUUGUGCACCAGACUUUGCCUUGGUGAAUCGCGACAUAUUAUUGAUGUUAAAUUCGUCUCGAAAUGGUUUGCUGGAGGAACCUGUCGUGCACUCGAAGGGCUUUAGAAAUACGGCUGUUCCGCUGACCGCACACGUACAUACACAUAUUGAUCUUUAUACUAGUAGAUAUGUACCUAAAAAGAGGCAGUCAACUGUAACUAUUCCAAACUGUUUGCCGUUGCAAGCGAGAUUUGUCCUAAACACCAGAUUAAAUGGCAUACAAAUAUUCAUACAUACUCGUAUGUACACACACACAUAUUUAUUCUUUACCAUUUUCUCUUUUCGGUAUUUCAAUGCGUUUGCUACAACAACAAUCGGCAUAUAAAAAUUACUACGAAUAAUUUUUCAUCGAGGCGCGAGCUACCAAUUUCAGCCACCACCCCAUCGGAAUCUACCUUUGUGUACACACAAAUAUAUGCGCAUACAUCUGCUCUAUAUCACACCUUCCAUCAUUCACUUCGUUGGGUUUUGUCGCCAAGCGCAAGCCCCAAGCCACGGACCACCUGCCGGCGCCUCAUUUCAACUAAUUACGGUGUUUAUGCUGUCGUUGUGGUCGUGCGCACAUCAACCGCAUUUUCAUGACACAUAAAACAGUGUCGAAAACAACAACAGCAACAACAAACAUAGCCAUAACAAUAACAUAACGGCAUAACAACAAUCAGCAACCAGGCAAAGUAACUGCGAAUGUCAAACGAGAACAAUUCAAGACGCGCCACAUGGCGGCAACCCUUUCACAACUGCUUAUAAUGUUGCAUACUUUUGGGUGACUGCUCUUCGAGUUCAGGCACGCCCCCUGCGGCUCCAGCUGCGGAAUUCAGCUGUUUGAACAUAAACGGAACUUGCCACUUGCCACAUUCCGCACGCACUCGCCGACCCUCAGCCGCUGUUUGUGUGUAAAACACUAUCCAAGACGUUUGCCAUCGGUGAAGAAGAAAGAUAAGGACUGAGUCCACAUCACACUCAUGCAACAUCCUUGGCAACGCAACGUGGCGGGCAGGUGUUCAUACUUUAAAGGGAAACUUUUUCAGAAGCGUUUGCGUAAAAGUUAUUUGGAUAAUGGCUUGGCACUUUGGGAAAACAGUGAGCCUGCGAGUAACUGGCAAACAGGGCCUCAGAAAGCGGAUAAGCAACUGAAAUGUGUUGCAGAGUCUGUUGUGCGGCGCGUAAGACCAACAAUGCAAAGAAGUUGCGGGGAGAAGACCCAAAAGUUGUGCGUAGAUUUCCAAAGAAUUAUGACCGGACGAAGUUGCGCCAAAUAGCAGGCAAACAACAGCAAUAAAACAAUAAACGUUUUCGGGCGAAGAGUAGUGAAAGUAAAAUUAAAAGUAAGCAUUUUCAAAGAACAAAAAAGCUCAGACGCCAAGCUCACUCUAGCUGGUUGCGGGGUUGUGGGACAGGAGAGACACAUUGAAAAAUGCGAAUAAUCAGAUUUAAGACAAAGUAUUUAAAGGUCCAUAAAUACAAUUACGAACUUAUGAAUAGCGAAAAUGUUGUUUAAUACAAUAAAUUUUGAGUUUUCUAAACUCACUGCGAAUAACAUGAGCCCCACAAAAUGCACAGGCCCAACAUUGUACUGAGCAGAAGUCGAUCCAGCUUUGGUCAA